GCAGACAAGCGAAGAGGGAUAUUCAAGAAUCCUAAUGCAGAUAUCAGAGAAAAUGCGUUUUGUGUUAUUGGGAGAUUAAAGCGUGAUAAGACUUUAUUUUAUAAUGCCAGAGACGUGCAGUUUUACUUAUUUUGUUUUAAGCCGGCCAAUGUUUUAUAUUAUAUAAGCAAUUCUGCUAGGCGGGGGCUAGCAUAUAGGUGCGAGGCCGAGCAAUCUGUAAGACAUAGGGUUUUGAUUAAUUAUAUAUUGUUCGUGCAUUCUCUGUAACCUGUGGAAUGUGGAGGACAGUGCAGAGUAACGACCUGAGGGUAGCUGAUCAAUGAGUUUCUAGGGGAUGGCGUGAGAUAAAAGUGCUUAGUUCAGGAAGUCAAUGUACGACAGUUUAUGAACUCUUCCCAAAGUGCCUUUGUGAAACUAGAUGCAGCUAGAACCGCGAGGCGCUAGCGAACUGUGUGUUCGUAUGUGCGUGUGCGCCUCUUUCUGUUAAAAGCGUUCAUACCCAAGCCUAUGAGAGGGAUUUUGACAGAGGGCUUCGAGUCAUAGGCAAAGAUGCCGUGGCAUUCGCCGGGGGAGUUUUUUGACAUAGUGUUUAGUGCCCGGUUGGGAAUGGAUGGUUCUGGAUUUCUGUGGGACAGAGUUCCCAGGGAAAGGUGUGACCUUUUGGGUGACUUGACAAUGAGUUGUUUUAAGUUAGUCUGUAAGACUGGAUUACUUAGUUAACCGACUUAGUUGUUAUUGUAAAUAAACGUUAUGUUAUGA